GAUGAACGCUGGCGGCGUGCCUAAUACAUGCAAGUCGAGCGAACAGACGAGGAGCUUGCUCCUCUGACGUUAGCGGCGGACGGGUGAGUAACACGUGGAUAACCUACCUAUAAGACUGGGAUAACUUCGGGAAACCGGAGCUAAUACCGGAUAAUAUAUUGAACCGCAUGGUUCAAUAGUGAAAGACGGUUUUGCUGUCACUUAUAGAUGGAUCCGCGCCGCAUUAGCUAGUUGGUAAGGUAACGGCUUACCAAGGCGACGAUGCGUAGCCGACCUGAGAGGGUGAACGGCCACACUAGAACUGAGAAACGGUCCAGACUACUACGGGAGGAAGCAGUAGGGAAUCUUCCGCAAUGGGGGAAAGCCUGACGGAGCAACGCCGCGUGAGUGAUGAAGGACUUCGGAUCGUAAAACUCUGUUAUUAGGGAAGAACAAAUGUGUAAGUAACUAUGCACGUCUUGACGGUACCUAAUCAGAAAGCCACGGCUAACUACGUG
rnacentral:rRNA from 1 species